GCGCUCUCGGGGGCGCUGCUCUUUAGAGGCUCAGACAAGGGGACUGGGAAUCCUGGUUAGAUGAGGCACCGGCGGCGGCGGCGGCAGCCCUCCCGGGUCCCACUUCUGUGGCGAAUCCUCCUGCCUGGGACUCCAGGCAAGUGACUUGCAUCAGAAGUCUCAGCUCCAAAUGCUUUGCUUUAAGAAGCUGGAGCCUUGACCGUUCGGAGGGCCAUCCCUGGGGGAGCAAGUGGCAGCCUGAGAGGCGUCCGCCUCCCCUCUGAUUUCCUGCACAGUUACCGAGGGAUAGUGUGCUAGAAAUGGCUCUGCUGUCGAAUGCAUUUUCUUGCCAUUUUCAUGUCCCGAUACUGCAUAAACAAUCACCUGAUCGAUCGGAAUAGGAGGGAAAGGUAGAGUGGAAAUUGAUUUCUUGCAGAGACUGAGUCGCCGGAUGAUAGAGGGAAUAAACAUUUGCCCUGGAUAGAAAUGUUCUUGGCUAUAUUCCAUCCUUAAUGAUGUCAUAGAACAGAAGUUUUUCUUCAGUUCACUCAUUUUACCAUAAGGAUGGAUGGCUUCUGUGUGUUUCUGCUUUACAGAGAAUGACAAAUGUUGCUAAGAGGCUCUGAGGGCCACCUAAAAAGGAUCAAUAUCCUGAAUUACAUUCAUUUCAAAUAAACCUUAACAAUUCUGAUACAUAGAAAUUGUACUUUUCAUAUAAGACCUCAAUAUACUGCCUAACUCUACUUGACCUAAUUUGCUAUUCAAAGAAAUCCGACUUAAAUUAGAAAAAAUGUUAACUUUGAAAUUUUUUAUAUAUAUAAAACAAAUGUAAGACUGCUAUUCUUAAAUAUUUUGGACAAAAGAACCACAUAAGAAAAAUAUUAAUUUUAUAACCUACAGUUCCUAAACUUUAAAAUAGUUUGUAGCAUUUAAAGUUUUAUUAAACAAUUUAAGUAUUUGAACAUUAAAUAAUAUGUUUACAUUUAAUCAACUCCAAAAUAGCUGCCUUUAAUCUUCUGAACAAAUCUGGUUUUUACUUGCACUGCUCUCAAAAAUUACACAUUUCUGCUUUAUGUUGAGAUUAUUUAGUCCUAGAUGACCAAAAUGUACAUCUACAUUUGGUAAUUUAGUACAUUUUACAUGAUUGGUCACAUUUUUGUUUGUUAUCCUGGCGGCUUCUUUUACAUGUGUGAGUAAAAACUAAUAUAUUUCUUACCUAUUAACUCACUGAAAUUUCUAAUUGAAAGCAACAUUUAAGAAAUAUUAGGGCUCGGGGUAGAGCUUAGUGGAAUAAUUUGUGCUUAGCCAUGUGUUGAGGCCCUGGGUUUGAUCCCCAGUACAGCCAAAACAAAAGAAAGACAGAUAUAUUGUAUUACAGAAAUUGUGAUGUGAUUUGCUCAUGAAGCAAGAUGUCCAUAUGCUUAAUAUUUUUAAUUUUAAAUAUAAUUUAUAACAAAAGUGAUAUAAGAUGAGUCAAUUUAGAGUAUCCUUUGCAAAAGACCCUCAUACAUGACACACAGUUAUUCAUAUAUAAUUUCAUUCAUUAAAAAUAUUGAAAUUUACUUUCUUUGCUAUGUGCUUAUUUUCUUUCUAGAGCUUUCUAUUUGAAAGUGUAUAAGAUUUAUUAAGUACCUAUGUGUGUAGACAUCUUCACUUCUUACAUUAUAAAAUAAAUAUGCUAAAAUGCAUUUGAAGCUCAAGGAAAGUAUGCUAGAACUUGAAAACUAGAUGUUAAACUAUUAGUGUAAUCAUACACCAAACUGUAACCUAACAAUCUUUAAGUAGAGCUCUCCUAACUUCUUAGUUACUGCACAUUCUAAUAAUCAAAUUAUUAUUAGUUGCUAAGAAAAGCACUGUUUGAGACUGAGAUAAGGAGUAAGAGAAAGAAUGAAAAAGUAAUAGAUCCAGCCUUCUUAGAGUUUAUUUUGUUGAUAAACGAAUAUUCUUCAUAUAGAAAUUUAUUUCCCUGCUGUAUUUUGUCCCCUACAGCCCAUUCUCCACACCACUGCCCUCAGAAGAUUGGAGAGUAUUUUACAAUAUAACACUGAUUUCUCAAGAAUUGGCAUAAGAGUUCUUUUUGUAUAUACCUUGAGUUGCUCCCUAGAAUAUCUUCCCUACUCAAUAUGAACUUUAGAUAAUUCCAACCACCUGUAAUUAUAUUUCAUUGUAUCACCUCACUGUUCUACUUCUUAAAUUCCCUGCAGUGUAGAAAGUAGGAUUAUUUAAUGAGCUACAUACACAUCAUCAGAUAUUUAAUUAGACUCCAACAUAUUUAUGAACCCCCCCCCCCACACACACACACACAAAAUGAAAGAGACUACGACAAUGUCUUGUGGUGGAAACAUUAUAUGAUAAUAAAAAGUUCAUGUUCUUUUAACAAAAACAGCCAUUCAAAAUUAUUUAGUUUUCUGGAGUGGUUGGAGCCAUAAUAGUUUUCCCCCACAUAUUAUAUAUAUAGUUAAAGAAUGGCAAACCUAAAGGCAAACACUAACACCAAAAUCCAUUUGGCAGUUUUUGUUCCUACAUUAAACAGUACAAGAACAGAGGAAUCAAUUUAAUCAUUUUUAAAUGUCUGUAAUGUGUUCUUAUAAAAUUACAAUUUUUGAACUAACCUAAAAAGUUAUUGUUUUAUGAAAGCACUAAUGCUUUAUAGAAGCAUUUCUGGGAACAUUUAAGUAGUGUUUGCACGACUGAGUGUAUUUUGUGUGAUUAAUAGUAACUUUUCACACAUGUAAUGAAGUACAUAGCUUUACCCAUUUUGAAGCACUUACUGUCAACUACUGGUUCAAUGAAGAAUGAAAUAUAAUUAUAGUUUUCCCAUAUUUGAUCUCAACUCCCUCACUUUAUAUUCUAGCUAUCUAGCACAGAACUCUAAUAGAGCAGAAGCUUUAUAAACAUUUAAUGGAUGAAACUAAGUACUCUUUCCCUCUUUAACAUGACCGUUUUUUGUUU